UGGGGAAUCUUCCGCAAUGGACGAAAGUCUGACGGAGCAACGCCGCGUGUAUGAUGAAGGUCUUCGGAUUGUAAAGUACUGUCAUUGGGGAAGAACGGUUUUCUUGAGAAUAUUGAGAAGACAUGACGGUACCCAAGGAGGAAGCCCCGGCUAACUACGUGCCAGCAGCCGCGGUAAUACGUAGGGGGCAAGCGUUGUCCGGAAUUAUUGGGCGUAAAGGGCGCGUAGGCGGGCCUUUAAGUCCGGUGUGAAAGAUCAGGGCUCAACCCUGAGAGUGCAUCGGAAACUGGAGGCCUUGAGGACAGGAGAGGAAAGUGGAAUUCCACGUGUAGCGGUGAAAUGCGUAGAUAUGUGGAGGAACACCAGUGGCGAAAGGCGACUUUCUGGACUGUAACUGACGCUGAGGCGCGAAAGCGUGGGGAGCAAACAGGAUUAGAUACCCUGGUAGUCCACGCCGUAAACGAUGAGUGCUAGGUGUAGAGGGUAUCGACCCCUUCUGUGCCGCAGUUAACACAAUAAGCACUCCGCCUGGGGAGUACGGCCGCAAGGUUGAAACUCAAAUGAAUUGACGGGGGUCAUAGCUGUUUU
rnacentral:rRNA from 1 species